CCUACGGGAGGCAGCAGUGGGGAAUAUUGGACAAUGGGGGCAACCCUGAUCCAGCCAUGCCGCGUGUGUGAAGAAGGCCUUCGGGUUGUAAAGCACUUUAAGUAGUGAAGAAGGCUGUACGGUUAAUACCCGUGCAGAUUGACAUUAGUUACAGAAUAAGCACCGGCUAACUCCGUGCCAGCAGCCGCGGUA
rnacentral:rRNA from 1 species